UACGAAGGGGGCUAGCGUUGUUCGGAAUCACUGGGCGUAAAGCGCACGUAGGCGGAUCUUUAAGUCAGAGGUGAAAGCCCGGGGCUCAACCCCGGAACUGCCUUUGAAACUAGAUAGCUAGAGUCUUGGAGAGGUUAGUGGAAUUCCGAGUGUAGAGGUGAAAUUCGUAGAUAUUCGGAAGAACACCAGUGGCGAAGGCGACUAACUGGACAAGUACUGACGACUGAGGUA
rnacentral:rRNA from 1 species